rnacentral:rRNA from 1 species
UACGAAGGGGCUAGCGUUGCUCGGAAUCACUGGGCGUAAAGGGGUGUCGAUGAGGCGGGUCGUUUAAGUCAGGGGUGAAAUCCUGGAGCUCAACUCCAAGAACCUGCCCUUUGAUACUGAAGAUCUUGGAGUUCGGGAGAGGUGAGGUGGAACUGCGAAGUGUAGAGGUGAAAUUCGUAGAUAUUCGCAAGAACACCAGUGGCGAAGGCGGCUCACUGGCCCGAUACUGACGCUGAGGCACGAAAGCGUGGGGGAGCCAAACAGG